AGUGGGAUGGCGCGGUCUGGUAGCUCGUUGGGCUCGUAACCCGAAGGUCGUACGUUCAAACCUACCCCCGCAA
rnacentral:tRNA from 1 species